AAUGGGCGAAAGCCUGACGGAGCAACGCCGCAUGAGGGAUGAAGGCCUCUGGGCUGUAAACCUCUUUUAUCAAGGAAGAAGAUCUGACGGUACUUGAUGAAUAAGCCACGGCUAAUUCCGUGCCAGCAGCCGCGGUAAUACGGGAGUGGCAAGCGUUAUCCGGAAUUAUUGGGCGUAAAGCGUCCGCAGGCGGCCCAGAAAGUCUGCUGUUAAAAAGUGGAGCUUAACUCCAUCAUGGCAGUGGAAACUGUUGGGCUUGAGUGUGGUAGGGGCAGAGGGAAUUCCCGGUGUAGCGGUGAAAUGCGUAGAUAUCGGGAAGAACACCAGUGGCGAAGGCGCUCUGCUGGGCCAUCACUGACGCUCAUGGACGAAAGCCAGGGGAGCGAAAGGGAUU
rnacentral:rRNA from 1 species